GCCUGCCCAGUGACUGAGUGUUUAACGGCCGCGGUAUCCUAACCGUGCAAAGGUAGCGCAAUCAAUUGCCUCAUAAAUCGAGGCUAGUAUGAAUGGCUAAACGAGGUCUUAACUGUCUCUUACAGGCAAUCGGUGAAAUUGAUCUCCCUGUGCAAAAGCAGGGAUAAACACAUAAGACGAGAAGACCCUGUGGAACUUUAAAAUCAACAACCACCCUAAAACGCAUUCACGCCUACUGGGCUCACGAACCUACAAAGGAGAUGGUCUGUAUUUUUCGGUUGGGGCGACCUUGGAGAAAAACAAAUCCUCCAAAUAUUGGACCAUAACUCUAGACUAAGAGCUACUACUCGAAGUGCUAAUAGCAACCAGACCCAAUAUAAUUGAUCAAUGGACCAAGCUACCCCAGGGAUAACAGCGCAAUCUCCUCCGAGAGUCCGUAUCGACGGGGAGGUUUACGACCUCGAUGUUGGAUCAGGACAUCCUAGUGGUGCAGCAGCUACUAAGGGUUCGUUUGUUCAACGAUUAA
rnacentral:rRNA from 1 species